rnacentral:rRNA from 1 species
AAUGAACGCUGGCGGCAUGCCUUACACAUGCAAGUCGAACGGCAGCAUGACCUAGCUUGCUAGGUUGAUGACGAGUGGCGAACGGGUGAGUAAUGCAUCGGAACGUGCCUUUUAGUGGGGGAUAACGUAGCGAAAGUUACGCUAAUACCGCAUAUUCUCUGAGGAGGAAAGCAGGGGACCUUCGGGCCUUGCGCUAGAAGAGCGGCCGAUGUCGGAUUAGCUAGUUGGUGAGGUAAAGGCUCACCAAGGCAACGAUCCGUAGCGGGUCUGAGAGGAUGAUCCGCCACACUGGGACUGAGACACGGCCCAGACUCCUACGGGAGGCAGCAGUGGGGAAUUUUGGACAAUGGGCGCAAGCCUGAUCCAGCCAUGCCGCGUGAGUGAAGAAGGCCUUCGGGUUGUAAAGCUCUUUCGGCUGGGAAGAAAUCGCACCCUCUAAUACAGGGUGUGGAUGACGGUACCAGCAUAAGAAGCACCGGCUAACUACGUG